CCUACGGGAGGCAGCAGUGGGGAAUAUUGGACAAUGGGGGCAACCCUGAUCCAGCCAUGCCGCGUGUGUGAAGAAGGCCCUCGGGUUGUAAAGCACUUUCAGUGAGGAAGAACGCCUGGUGGUUUAUACCCAUCAGGAAAGACAUCACUCACAGAAGAAGCACCGGCUAACUCCGUGCCAGCAGCCGCGGUAAUACGGAGGGUGCGAGCGUUAAUCGGAAUUACUGGGCGUAAAGCGCGCGUAGGUGGCUUGAUAAGCCGGUUGUGAAAGCCCCGGGCUCAACCUGGGAACGGCAUCCGGAACUGUCAAGCUAGAGUGCAGGAGAGGAAGGUAGAAUUCCCGGUGUAGCGGUGAAAUGCGUAGAGAUCGGGAGGAAUACCAGUGGCGAAGGCGGCCUUCUGGACUGACACUGACACUGAGGUGCGAAAGCGUGGGUAGCAAACAGGAUUAGAUACCCUUGUAGUC
rnacentral:rRNA from 1 species